rnacentral:rRNA from 1 species
UGAGGUGGGGGAUAACCCGGGGAAACUCGGGCUAAUACCGCAUAAGACCGUGAGGUCAAAGGGGGGUCGCAAGAUCUCUCGCCAUAGGAGGAGUCCGCGUUCGAUUAGCUAGUUGGUAGGGUAAUGGCCUACCAAGGCGACGAUCGAUAGCCGGCCUGAGAGGGUGAUCGGCCACACUGGAACUGAGACACGGUCCAGACUCCUACGGGAGGCAGCAGUGGGGAAUUUUGCGCAAUGGGCUAACGCCUGACGCAGCAACGCCGCGUGGAGGAUGAAGGUCCUUGGAUUGUAAACUCCUGUCAGCAGGGAAAAAGCAACCUGACCUCAUACGUCAGGAAGUUGAUUGUACCUGCAGAGGAAGCCCCGGCUAACUCUGUGCCAGCAGCCGCGGUAAUACAGAGGGGGCAAGCGUUAUUCGGAAUUAUUGGGCGUAAAGGGCGCGUAGGCGGCCUGGCAAGUGGAUGGUGAAAUCCCUCGGCUUAACCGAGGAACUGCCAUCCAGACUGCUAGGCUUGAGACCGGGAGAGGUGAGUGGAAUUCCCAGUGUAGCGGUGAAAUGCGUAGAUAUUGGGAGGAACACCAGUGGCGAAGGCGGCUCACUGGACCGGUACUGACGCUGAGGCGCGAAAGCGUGGGGAGCAAACGGGAUUAGAUACCCCGGUAGUCCACGCCGUAAACGAUGAGUGCUUGGUGUAGCGGGUAUCGACCCCUGCUGUGCCGAAGUCAAC